rnacentral:lncRNA from 10 species
GCAGAAGUAACAUUCCUUUGAACACUCAGCUUUCUGAAAUGGUGUCCCACCGCAAGGACUGGAGAAGGGGUCUUCCUCUGCCACCCAGGCUGGAGUGUGCAGCAGCAUGACCGUGGCUUACUGCAGCUUCAACCUCUCAGGAUUAGAUAUAGGAUAUUGCCAUGUUGUUCGGCUGCUCUCAAGCUCCUGGGUGCAAGCAAUCCAUUUACCUUGGCCUCCCAAAGUGCUGAGAUUACAGAUCUUGCUUUCUUUUGUAUGUUUGCAAAGAAUAUAUAGUACACUUCCUUGAUCUGUGGUUCCUAAAGUGUGAUUCCCAACAAGCAGCAUCAGGAUCAUCUGGAAACUUGAUAGAAAUGUAAAUUCUACAGUCCCUCCUUGGAGCUACAGAUUCAGAAAUUCUGAAGUUUAAGUCCAGCAGUUGGUUAUAAUAAGCUCUCUAGGUGAUUCUGACUUGCACCAAGGUAAACCUCAGGUUCUCCUCCUGCCUUUUGCUAAGUAUAUGUCUUGAUGACAAGCCUUCUGCUGAUGAGCUGUGUUUCUGGACCGAUCAUGGUAGAAGUCAAUUAACGUGUCCCUCACUUGGGGUUUCUCAAGGCUGCACUGAUGAGGAAACUGAAACAGAAAAUCCAGAGUAAAUUCCACCAGGCCACACAGCAAGGUCUGAUAGAGCCAGGAGAGACUUUAUGAAAUCCAGACUCUCACACUAAUGCUCUAUCAGCUAGACCUCCAUGUGAGUCUCCCCAAUGUAGGUAGGAAGUGCUUUCCCUAAAAUGCUCAUAAAGCAAAUCAGAGCAAUGCUGCAUUCCAUGUGAUUUCUAAUUUGAAAUGCAAACAAUUGCCAAUUUGUUUGACUUGUAUUUAUAAUUAUUUCCUUGUGAAUUACUCAUCACUAAAUGCUUUAUAAAUAUUUUCUCUUUUUUUCCUCAAUGUCUAUGGAAUGAUCACAGCAUAGAAAAUGUUGGCUUUCAAGGAUUUAUUAAUAUCUCCUUUUGAAAUAACAUGUAUUUGU